rnacentral:rRNA from 1 species
CCUACGGGUGGCAGCAGUAGGGAAUAUUGCUCAAUGGGGGAAACCCUGAAGCAGCAACGCCGCGUGGAGGAUGAAGGUUUUCGGAUUGUAAACUCCUUUUGUUAGAGAAGAUAAUGACGGUAUCUAACGAAUAAGCACCGGCUAACUCCGUGCCAGCAUCCGCGGUAAUACGGCGGGUGCAAGCGUUACUCGGAAUCACUGGGCGUAAAGAGCGCGUAGGCGGGAUAGCAAGUCAGAUGUGAAAUCCUAUGGCUUAACCAUAGAACUGCAUUUGAAACUGUUAUUCUAGAGUAUGGGAGAGGUAGGUGGAAUGCUUGGUGUAGGGGUGAAAUGCGUAGAGAUCAAGAGGAAUACUGAUUGCGAAGGCGGCCUGCUAGAACAUAACUGACGCUGAUGCGCGAAAGCGUGGGGAGCAAACAGGAUUAGAUACCCGAGUAGUC